GUGCAACGUUACAAAGGAAAGGUAUCACUCCCAGAGCUUGUUUUUAAAGCUAAUUAGCUAGCUAGCGCUAGCUGUAUACCGCUGUCCAAAUAAUGUAGCUGUCUACAUUAUAUUGACGCUGGCUAGAAUAAGUCGUUUGGGCCUACUUACACCAACCCAGCGGGACCCAUUUCACCACGUCGAUUCAUUGCAAAUAAAAUGAAGGGGGCGACGACUGAACUUCGGAAAUAUUGCCUCCCCAAUCAGCCAGCAAGCAUUCUGCGUCGCCCAGCGGUCCCGUGGCUACUACUACGCUGUCAAACCAACGUAUUCGCUAUAGAGAAUACGUAGUCAUAAAAAUUCGAGCGCCCCCGGAAAAAAUCGUGCGCAG